rnacentral:ncRNA from 12 species
CCUUGGGCUAGGUAGGCCAGCCGAAAAGGGUAUUCCGCGCCCCUGCCCAAGGUUUUCAUGCGGGG